rnacentral:piRNA from 1 species
UUGGGCCUUACCCCAUCAGGUUAACUCAAAA